AUUCGUUGUUGCCAGGUGACGUAUCACCGCCAUAGGAGGUAUUCAACUUUACAGGCCUUAACCAUUAAGCAGGCCUUGCUUUAAGAGGAGUUUGCAUACCUGUAACAUAUGUUUUUAUGAUGAAACCUAUUUAUCAAUGACAAAUUAUCAAUCCCAUUAUCAAUCAAUGGUCUGUUGAUGGGAAGAGGAAAGGUUUUGUAAACAGUUCAUCUGUCAACCAAAAAUCACCGCUUCAUACGCCUAUUUGAAGAAUUGACAAUGGAUGUCAGUCUGUGUGUCAGCAAGGUUUUUAGUAAUCUUGAUGUCACUGAAGAAUCGUGGAAUGGUCUAAUAAAAAAAGGCCAUGAGGUUGAUGCAAAAACCAAAUUAUUUCAUUUUAAAAUAGGAAACCAGAAUUGUUGGUCAAUAAAGAUUAGUAUUAUCAAAUGAAUUUAUCCAAAACACUGGCCGCUGCCCCAAUGACAAGUAUUCAUCAGUGGUGUGUCAUGAUACUGAAAUGAUUAGAUAAAGGGAAUUUGAAGUUGGCAGUAGAGCCAAUCAGCCAAAUGAAAUGAACACUUGUCUCUGCAUGAAUUGCAUAGCUGAAAUGACUCCAGCUACUCGAUUUUCCGGCCUAGUGUUGGAUUUGAAUCAAGACGCGUUACAAUUGCUUGCGAUAGACGACGUUCGGUUGAUCCGUCUCUGGGACAUAGAGCGUUAACUGAAAGUCAGUUAUUUUCCAACUGGCAUCAUAAAACUGUUUCAACUCCAUCCACCAUAGUCCACGAGGAUUAAUAAUGUUUUUAAAAUAUCACAUAACCGAAUCUGUUUAAUUCUUCCUAUUAAUAGUCGACUCGUUGGUCAGCAUAUUAGCGUGCACGAUCAAGAGGGGCAAGUGUGCUCCACCACUGCGUGUCACGAUGGUUGCGGUAUAUUGGGACCCAAGAUUGCAGCCGUGUCAUGCCUCACCUUUCACCCUCAUAGAGUAUGUCUAGCUACUGGAGGCAUGAACUCCAUGAUUUCUGUUUUCUCGUCAGAUAAGCCAAAGAAGUAGAAAGUGUAGGAAGAGCCACCUGAAUGGCGACGUCAAGAUCCCAUUUUCCCUUUUUUUUCUUUCGUUUUCUGUUGGAGAUUUUCAAUUCGAGCCGCGAAACCUCGCAUAUGUCAAAUGCCCAGUUACAAUCAUCAGUUUGCGUGUAUGUUCUGUUGAAACGGGAACUAAAAUAACCAGUACUUUUUUAGCAGUACGUUUUUUACAUCUAUUAUAUAUUCUUUAUAUUAUUCGAAUAUCUUUAGUCUACAUUCACAUAUUUUUUUUUAUCUACAUUUUCACAGUUGGCCACUUGUUGUGAUUCUACUUAGCCUUGUGUAUUACAAUCUUUACGGUCGGCACUUUGAUAAAAGUGACAGGUAGUAUACUGAGAAAUUUUUGCACUUAGAAAGAACAAGAAUUUGUCAACAUUUGAAUACUACAAAAAAUACAGAGCCAUCUUAGCGGUCAUUUUAACACAAUUCAUCUUCAGCGGUUGCGUGUCCCACUAGUUUCCUAUGUACUAAAACUUUAAGAAUAAGCAAUUAAAUUAAAAUCUUUUUUUCACAAUACAAAAUACUAGGUUUAGGACUUCACUUUUGGUGAACCAAACCCAAUGAAAUUACCAACCCCGAUUUUUACGAAAUUUUUCUCAAUAGAUGGCGUUGACAUAACGGCGGAGUGGAUGGUCACGUCAUGAAGUACACCUAUACCACGGUAUACUUCAUGGUCGCGUUUUUGUGAUUUUUAGGCUUCGCAGCUUUCGUUGGUCUUUGACUCUUUGUGUCUAAAAUUUCGACGGUUUUGGGGCGGGGAAAUUCUUUUCGAACUUCAAUUUUUCAGGUGUCGUCUGCUCCGUUCGUUUCCCUUAUGAUUGGCUGUUGAAGUUUUCAAACACGAUUCCUGAUUGGUGCAUUCACGUCUGACGAUUUCCACAUGUCGUGAACCAACCAGGAAAUUCUUGAUCCAAAUAGAAUGUCUUCAACCAAAUAGGAUGUCUUGAUGCCAACUAAGUGUCAUUGGAAAGAUUGUAAAAAGAUGUUUAAGGAAAAACCUAAAGUUGGAGGAUGAUUGAUUCCAUAAUCUUCAGCUUCCCAGGCAGACAUCCAUCCACAAAGCAAUGGAGUCAGAGACCAAUGUUUGGAAUCUGAUAUUCUAGCCCUCAAAACCUCAGCUGCCCUUCUGCUUCAACAAGGGUAUAAAGCAAUUAUAAUUUCAGGAGUGUAUACAUAUGUUCAGGGUCAAGUUUAUGAAAUGGUUGAGCCAAAAAUGAGUUUUACAUUACUUUUGAACCGGUCACAACUCAGUUUACGCAGUGGAUGCCUAACUAUACAACCCAGCAAUCUUUACUUGCAAUCUUCCAGUGCCUGGAAUUUGUUAUGCAUGCAAUUACUCAACAAGGAAUUAGGUGGGGCGGUGGAGAGAAAAGAUGUCUGCGAAGAUGGGCAAUUCGAGAUCCAAGUAGAAACGGAGUGCCCAUUGUUUAAAGGCUUAGAGACUCGGUAAAUGGUAUUACUGAUCGAUAGUGACAGCGUAAAAAAGGUUGCAGAAGGGUUGCGAUGCGUCGCAACAUCUUCGCGUCAUAUUAUUUUCGCUAUUGUUAAUACUGAACGCCGUCUUUCGGAGUCCAGUUCUAUGAUUUGACUGAAAACGUUUUGUUGGUUUCCUUUCCAUUGAGUGCGAAACAUUGAUCUUAAUUGCUGGUGUAAAA
rnacentral:sRNA from 1 species